rnacentral:piRNA from 1 species
UGGUAACCUCAAGUACUAGCAACUGGAUGG